rnacentral:rRNA from 1 species
UACGUAGGGUGCAAGCGUUGCUCGGAAUCAUUGGGCGUAAAGAGCGUGUAGGUGGCUAGAUAAGUCGGAUGUGAAAUCCCUCGGCUCAACCGAGGAAGGGCAUUCGAAACUAUCUAGCUCGAGGAUGGCAGAGGAAGGUGGAAUUCCUAGUGUAGAGGUGAAAUUCGUAGAUAUUAGGAGGAAUACCGGUGGCGAAGGCGGCCUUCUGGACCAUUCCUGACACUGAGACGCGAAAGCGUGGGUAGCAAACAGGAUUAGAUACCCUGGUAGUCCACGCUGUAAACGAUGGGUACUAGAUGUUGUGGGAAUUGACCCCCGCAGUGUCGUAGCUAACGCGUUAAGUACCCCGCCUGGGAAGUACGGCCGCAAGGUUAAA